rnacentral:rRNA from 1 species
UACGUAGGUGGCAAGCGUUGUCCGGAAUUAUUGGGCGUAAAGCGCGCGCAGGCGGUCCUUUAAGUCUGAUGUGAAAGCCCUCGGCUCAACCGAGGAGGGUCAUUGGAAACUGGAGGACUUGAGUGCAGAAGAGGAAAGUGGAAUUCCAAGUGUAGCGGUGAAAUGCGUAGAGAUUUGGAGGAACACCAGUGGCGAAGGCGACUUUCUGGUCUGUAACUGACGCUGAGGCGCGAAAGCGUGGGGGAGCAAACAGG